UCAAACCUCUCUAGUCGCCUACAACUUGUCUUUGGAUAAUAUCAUCAUAGGAUAGAAAGCAUUCAUCCUUUAACAUGUUCAAAAUAUAGGUUUCGUGUGUGUCGCAUUGCGCGAAAAACCGGCGGGAAACAAGAACAACAGAGCCGCCACCGUGCGUUAUUUAUCCCAAAAGAGGGAAAGGAAACGCUCAGAGUAAACCUGGAAAAAGCAUGGUCUCACGACCAAAGAGAAUGGG
rnacentral:lncRNA from 1 species